GAUGAACGCUAGCGACAGGCUUAACACAUGCAAGUCGAGGGGCAGCACAGGGUAGCAAUACUUGGGUGGCGACCGGCGCACGGGUGAGUAACGCGUAUCCAACCUUCCGUACACUCAGGGAUAGCCUUUCGAAAGAAAGAUUAAUACCUGAUGGUAUCUUAAGCACACAUGUAAUUAAGAUUAAAGAUUUAUCGGUGUACGAUGGGGAUGCGUUCCAUUAGGUAGUAGGCGGGGUAACGGCCCACCUAGCCAACGAUGGAUAGGGGUUCUGAGAGGAAGGUCCCCCACAUUGGAACUGAGACACGGUCCAAACUCCUACGGGAGGCAGCAGUGAGGAAUAUUGGUCAAUGGACGAGAGUCUGAACCAGCCAAGUAGCGUGCAGGAUGACGGCCCUAUGGGUUGUAAACUGCUUUAUAAGGGAAUAAAGUGGGAGUCGUGACUCUUUUUGCAUGUACCUUAUGGAUAAGGACCGGCUAAUUCCGUG
rnacentral:rRNA from 1 species